CACAAACGAAAAACCAAAUGACGCGCCACACAACAAAAACGAAAAGAAGCAGUAGAAGUAAAAAAAUUGGGCAGCAAAAAGCAUUAUCAAGGGAGCAUUGGCUAAGAAGAAACCGAGUGAGAUACAAGUACAAUAAAGUGAGAUAGCACACUUUGUGGCGGCCUAUCAUAAGGUCUAUUUAUUAUAUAAAGUCUACAUGGCCUGUCAGCUACCUGCAGUUUGGUACAAUAUGUACCCGAUGCCGGGUCUGCCGAGGAGUGCACGCACUGCGGAAAUGCCAACGCUUCCUGACCCUGAGCCCUAAGAAGCGCCUCCGGGCAGUACUCAUCAACAAGAACUGCCCUAACUGCCUGGCCCACGAGCACACAUCACGCUCCUGUGGUAAGGAUCACCACAGCUUGCUCCAUAUUAAAGGAGAGGAGACGAAGUGAAAAGUACACCCAAGGCCCCGCAUACCAAGGCGCAGAAGGCGAAAACUGGAACUCGCGCCUCUUGGCGCACCCUUUCCGCUGUACCCACAUUAGGAAACGCAAAGUCCAAAGAGUCGCAUCGAUGUAUCUUUGUCAACGGCUGUCGGGCUUUCCGUCUUUCGCAUCGGUUCAGAAGGGGCUUGUACUGUAGUUGUAGUUUUUGACUUCACUUGAAUUAAAUGUGUAUUCGACAUCCAA